rnacentral:rRNA from 1 species
AGCGAACGCUGGCGGCAGGCCUAACACAUGCAAGUCGAACGAACUCUUCGGAGUUAGUGGCGGACGGGUGAGUAACACGUGGGAACGUGCCUUUAGGUUCGGAAUAACUCAGGGAAACUUGUGCUAAUACCGAAUGUGCCCUUCGGGGGAAAGAUUUAUCGCCUUUAGAGCGGCCCGCGUCUGAUUAGCUAGUUGGUGAGGUAAAGGCUCACCAAGGCGACGAUCAGUAGCUGGUCUGAGAGGAUGAUCAGCCACAUUGUGACUGAGACACGGCCCAAACUCCUACGGGAGGCAGCGGUGGGGAAUCUUGCGCAAUGGGCGAAAGCCUGACGCAGCCAUGCCGCGUGAAUGAUGGAGGUCUUAGGAUUGUAAAAUUCUUUCACCGGGGACGAUAAUGACGGUACCCGGAGAAGAAGCCCCGGCUAACUUCGUGCCAGCCGCCGCGGUAA